GCAUAAGGGGUGCGAGCGGCGGCGGCCAUGGACGACGAGGAGGAGACGUACCGGCUCUGGAAAAUCCGCAAGACCAUCAUGCAGCUGUGCCACGACCGUGGCUACCUGGUGACCCAGGACGAGCUUGACCAGACCCUGGAGGAGUUCAAAGCCCAAUUUGGGGACAAGCCGAGUGAGGGGCGGCCGCGGCGCACGGACCUCACCGUGCUGGUGGCCCACAACGAUGACCCCACCGACCAGAUGUUUGUGUUCUUUCCAGAGGAGCCCAAGGUGGGCAUCAAGACCAUCAAGGUGUACUGCCAGCGCAUGCAGGAGGAGAACAUCACGCGGGCCCUCAUCGUGGUGCAGCAGGGCAUGACACCCUCCGCCAAGCAGUCUCUGGUUGACAUGGCACCCAAGUACAUCCUGGAGCAGUUUCUGCAGCAGGAGCUACUCAUCAACAUCACGGAGCAUGAGUCCCUGAGCAUGUCGUCAUGACCAAGGAGGAGGUGACAGAGCUGCUGGCCCGAUAUAAGCUCCGAGAGAACCAGCUGCCCAGGAUCCAGGCGGGGGACCCUGUGGCGCGCUACUUUGGGAU
rnacentral:sRNA from 1 species